GAUGAACGCUGACAGAAUGCUUAACACAUGCAAGUCUUUGGCGAAGCUGUGCUUGCACAGCCUAGCCAAGGCGGACGGGUGAGUAACGCGUAAGGAACUUGCCCUGCAGUCAGGGAUAACAGACGGAAACGACUGAUAAGACCUGGUAAAGUCAGGCGGACUCAUGUCCAGCCUGAUGAAAAGAGAUGCUGCAGGAGAGCCUUGCGUCCUAUUAGCUUGUUGGUGGGGUAACGGCCCACCAAGGCGAUGAUAGGUAGCCGGCCUGAGAGGGUGGACGGCCACAAGGGGACUGAGAUACGGCCCUUACUCCUACGGGAGGCAGCAGUGGGGAAUAUUGGACAAUGGGGGCAACCCUGAUCCAGCAAUUCUGUGUGCACGAUGAAGGUUUUCGGAUUGUAAAGUGCUUUCAGUAGGGAAGAAAAAAAUGACGGUACCUGCAGAAGAAGCGACGGCUAAAUACGUG
rnacentral:rRNA from 1 species